GAGAACGAAAGAAGUUUUCGCACCUCCACCAGCAAGAACGAAAGGAAGUCGUUCCUCCAUGGAAGCACCAGAGAAAAAGAAAGCAACCAGAAAAAGGAAUUUACUUAGGGUUCCAUGGAGCACCACUUAUGAGCGGUGAAGAGCGUUGUCGCUGCGGCGUGAACGCGAGACCAAAUGUGCGAGUGAAAGGGUUUUGCCAUUGCCUACGCUUGCACGAGCUGUACCGAGGAAAAGAAGAAGCUUCUCAAGUUGGUUCUCCCAUGCAUCAUAGUAGAAGAAGGAAAUCCAGAAAAUUGGGAAUUUUCUUAGGGUUAAAAAAAAGGUGAAAUUUCCCAAAUUUAGGGUUUCAAAAGGAUUUUAAUUAUGAUAAAAAAUCAAGAAUGGUGGCAGAAACCAUAUGCGAUACAAAGAUAACUAAUUUAGGGUUCUCUGCAAAUUUUUAAUAGGGUCCUAAGAGGAUUCUAAUUUAGGAAAG
rnacentral:lncRNA from 1 species